UCACCGUUGGUGAACAAGCGGAGGGAUCAUUACCGAGUUUACAACUCCCAAACCCAAUGUGAACCAUACCAAACUGUUGCCUCGGCGGGGUCACGCCCCGGGUGCGUCGCAGCCCCGGAACCAGGCGCCCGCCGGAGGGACCAACCAAACUCUUUCUGUAGUCCCCUCGCGGACGUUAUUUUUACAGCUCUGAGCAAAAAUUCAAAAUGAAUCAAAACUUUCAACAACGGAUCUCUUGGUUCUG
rnacentral:misc_RNA from 1 species